UACAGAGGGUGCAAGCGUUAAUCGGAAUUACUGGGCGUAAAGCGCACGUAGGCGGUUUUUUAAGUCAGAUGUGAAAGCCCCGGGCUCAACCUGGGAAUUGCAUUUGAAACUGGGAAACUAGAGUGUGUGAGAGGGGGGUAGAAUUCCAAGUGUAGCGGUGAAAUGCGUAGAGAUUUGGAGGAACACCAGUGGCGAAGGCGGCCCCCUGGCACAACACUGACGCUCAGGUGCGAAAGCGUGGGGAGCAAACAGG
rnacentral:rRNA from 1 species